rnacentral:rRNA from 1 species
GCGGCAACAGCUCAAAUUUGAAAUCUGGCGCAAGCCCGAGUUGUAAUUUGUAGAGGAUGCUUCUAGGCAGCGGCCGUUCUAAGUUCCUUGGAACAGGACGUCAUAGAGGGUGAGAAUCCCGUAUGUGACCGGCACGCACCUUGUACGUAGCUCCUUCGACGAGUCGAGUUGUUUGGGAAUGCAGCUCUAAAUGGGAGGUAAAUUUCUUCUAAAGCUAAAUACCGGCUGGAGACCGAUAGCGCACAAGUAGAGUGAUCGAAAGAUGAAAAGCACUUUGGAAAGAGAGUUAAAAAGCACGUGAAAUUGUUGAAAGGGAAGCGCCUGCAACCAGACUUCGCGGCAGUGUUCCGCCGGUCUUCUGACCGGUCCAUUCUCUGUCGCGAGGCCAUCAUCGUCUGGGGCCGCCGGAUAAGACUGGAGGAAUGUAGCUCCCCUCGGGGAGUGUUAUAGCUUCCAGUGAUGCGGCGUGUCUCGGGCGAGGUCCGCGCUUCGGCAAGGAUGAUGGCGUAAUGGUUGUCGGCGGCCCGUCUUGAAACACGGACCAAGGAGUCUAACAUCUAUGCGAGUGUUCGGGUGUCAAACCCCUACGCGUAAUGAAAGUGAACGGAGGUGGGAACUUUUUGUGCACCAUCGACCGAUCCUGAUGUCCUCGGAUGGAUUUGAGUAAGAGCAUAGCUGUUGGGACCCGAAAGAUGGUGAACUAUGCCUGAAUAGGGUGAAGCCAGAGGAAACUCUGGUGG